AAUUUUGGACAAUGGGGGAAACCAUGAUCCAGCCAUCCCGCGUGUAUGAUGAAGGCCUUCGGGUUGUUAAGUACUUCUGGCAGGGAUGAAAAGAUAUCUCUUAAUACGACAUACUUCUGACGGUAUCUACAGAAAAAGCUCAGACCAACUACGUGCCAGCAGCCGCGGUAAUACGUAGGGUGAAAGCGUUAAUCGGAAUUACUGGGCGUAAAGCGUAUGUAGGCGGUUCGGAAAGAAAGAUGUGAAAGCCCAGGGCUCAACCUUGGAACUGCAUUUUUAACUGCCGAGCUAGAGUAUGUCAGAGGGGGGUAGAAUUACACGUGUAGCAGUGAAAUGCGUAGAUAUGUGGAGGAAUACCGAUGGCGAAGGCAGCCCCCUGGGAUAAUACUGACGCUCAGGCACGAAAGCGUGGGGAGCAAACA
rnacentral:rRNA from 1 species